rnacentral:rRNA from 1 species
UCCAGACUCCUACGGGAGGCAGCAGUGAGGAAUAUUGGUCAAUGGACGAGAGUCUGAACCAGCCAAGUAGCGUGAAGGAUGACUGCCCUAUGGGUUGUAAACUUCUUUUAUAUGGGAAUAAAAUGUUCCACGUGUGGGAUUUUGUAUGUACCAUAUGAAUAAGGAUCGGCUAACUCCGUGCCAGCAGCCGCGGUAAUACGGAGGAUCCGAGCGUUAUCCGGAUUUAUUGGGUUUAAAGGGUGCGUAGGCGGGCUUUUAAGUCAGCGGUAAAAAUUCGGGGCUCAACCCCGUCCGGCCGUUGAAACUGGGGGCCUUGAGUGGGCGAGAAGAAGGCGGAAUGCGUGGUGUAGCGGUGAAAUGCAUAGAUAUCACGCAGAACCCCGGUUGCGAAGGCAGCCUUCCGGCGCCCUACUGACGCUGAGGCACGAAAGUGCGGGGAUCGAACAGGAUUAGAUACCCUAGUAU